AUAAGUUAAAUUCCCUAUACACGUGAAUGUCUUCUAAACUGUGUAAAGUAAUGUAUUUAUAGAUGAUGGUACGGUGACGGCGACAGUGAUAAAUUGUUCGAAACAUGUAAGUGAUAGCAAUCCAGCAUCCAAUUUUUGUUCAGGGACAGUUGAUUAUGAGUAAUUCUAGGAAGAAUCAAAAACUAAAACGAACUGGGCCUUAAUCUCAUUGCAUUUAAGAUCCACGAAUCAGGCAUCAACAACACGGGGGCCGAUCUGGAGGCGCUGAACGAGUUUGUGUUACAAGCAGGGAGCGACCAGAUCGGACAGAAUUUUACAUCAGAACAUCUCGACGUCAUGACAGACCAGAUCCAACAUGCCGCAGGGACGGAACCCGGGUGCUACUAUUUCUUGCCGGCGGCGUUCUUCUUGGCGUCGUCGGCCCCCUUCGUUGCCUGCGCCGCCUUCUUGGCGGUCUUCUCCUGCAGCGCCUUGGCGUCCCUCUCUCGUCGCUGCUCCGGCGUGAGCCCGUCGUCGCGGCCCUUGCUCCCCGGCUUCCGCGCCUGCGCCCUCUGCCUGUCCCGCUCCCUCUGGUCGCCGCGUGCAGCCGCCAGCCCAGGUCAAGGAACAACACGUACAGAACAGAGAAGUACAGAUCCAACCAGAACACGCAUACGGUAACAACGAAAAAUAUAGAAUUUUCGACAGGGAUCAAUGAAACUAGAUGAAUCAGAGAAGGCAAUUUUUAUUCGCGGUGAAGGAUAUGAGUCAUGGCCGCUCCGAGGUAGAGAGAUUUGGGGGACGGGAGAAAGAUUGACGGAGAGAGGGAGGGGGCAGGUCGUAGUAUAAUUGUUGUGGUUUUGGAUCGUGAGGUCGGAACGGGGGUGGGGCGUGUGGCGGUGUAUAUGUAGGGCCGCGGGGUAGGUUCCGGAAGCGCCUCUCCCUUCUGGAACGUUCGGCGCCGAAUAAAUAAAAGGAGGAGAUAAAAGCGGAGCCG
rnacentral:lncRNA from 1 species